AAAUUGAAGAGUUUGAUCAUGGCUCAGAUUGAACGCUGGCGGCAGGCCUAACACAUGCAAGUCGAGCGGUAGCACAGAGAGCUUGCUCUCGGGUGACGAGCGGCGGACGGGUGAGUAAUGUCUGGGAAACUGCCUGAUGGAGGGGGAUAACUACUGGAAACGGUAGCUAAUACCGCAUAACGUCGCAAGACCAAAGUGGGGGACCUUCGGGCCUCAUGCCAUCAGAUGUGCCCAGAUGGGAUUAGCUAGUAGGUGGGGUAACGGCUCACCUAGGCGACGAUCCCUAGCUGGUCUGAGAGGAUGACCAGCCACACUGGAACUGAGACACGGUCCAGACUCCUACGGGAGGCAGCAGUGGGGAAUAUUGCACAAUGGGCGCAAGCCUGAUGCAGCCAUGCCGCGUGUGUGAAGAAGGCCUUCGGGUUGUAAAGCACUUUCAGCGGGGAGGAAGGCGUUAAGGUUAAUAACCUUAGCGAUUGACGUUACCCGCAGAAGAAGCACCGGCUAACUCCGUGCCAGCAGCCGCGGUAAUACGGAGGGUGCAAGCGUUAAUCGGAAUUACUGGGCGUAAAGCGCACGCAGGCGGUCUGUCAAGUCGGAUGUGAAAUCCCCGGGCUCAACCUGGGAACUGCAUUCGAAACUGGCAGGCUAGAGUCUUGUAGAGGGGGGUAGAAUUCCAGGUGUAGCGGUGAAAUGCGUAGAGAUCUGGAGGAAUACCGGUGGCGAAGGCGGCCCCCUGGACAAAGACUGACGCUCAGGUGCGAAAGCGUGGGGAGCAAACAGGAUUAGAUACCCUGGUAGUCCACGCCGUAAACGAUGUCGAUUUGGAGGUUGUGCCCUUGAGGCGUGGCUUCCGGAGCUAACGCGUUAAAUCGACCGCCUGGGGAGUACGGCCGCAAGGUUAAAACUCAAAUGAAUUGACGGGGGCCCGCACAAGCGGUGGAGCAUGUGGUUUAAUUCGAUGCAACGCGAAGAACCUUACCUGGUCUUGACAUCCACAGAACUUUCCAGAGAUGGAUUGGUGCCUUCGGGAACUGUGAGACAGGUGCUGCAUGGCUGUCGUCAGCUCGUGUUGUGAAAUGUUGGGUUAAGUCCCGCAACGAGCGCAACCCUUAUCCUUUGUUGCCAGCGGUCCGGCCGGGAACUCAAAGGAGACUGCCAGUGAUAAACUGGAGGAAGGUGGGGAUGACGUCAAGUCAUCAUGGCCCUUACGACCAGGGCUACACACGUGCUACAAUGGCAUAUACAAAGAGAAGCGACCUCGCGAGAGCAAGCGGACCUCAUAAAGUAUGUCGUAGUCCGGAUUGGAGUCUGCAACUCGACUCCAUGAAGUCGGAAUCGCUAGUAAUCGUAGAUCAGAAUGCUACGGUGAAUACGUUCCCGGGCCUUGUACACACCGCCCGUCACACCAUGGGAGUGGGUUGCAAAAGAAGUAGGUAGCUUAACCUUCGGGAGGGCGCUUACCACUUUGUGAUUCAUGACUGGGGUGAAGUCGUAACAAGGUAACCGUAGGGGAACCUGCGGUUGGAUCACCUCCUUACCUUAAAGAA
rnacentral:rRNA from 1 species